UACGUAGGGGGCAAGCGUUAUCCGGAUUUACUGGGUGUAAAGGGAGCGUAGACGGCAGUGCAAGUCCGGAGUGAAAGCCCGGGGCUCAACGCUGGGACUGCUCUGGAAACUGUAAAGCUGGAGUGCGGGAGGGGCAGGCGGAAUUCCUGGUGUAGCGGUGAAAUGCGUAGAUAUCAGGAGGAACACCGGCGGCGAAGGCGGCCUGCUGGACCGUAACUGACGUUGAGGCUCGAAAGCGUGGGGAGCAAACAGG
rnacentral:rRNA from 1 species